rnacentral:lncRNA from 1 species
GCUCAUUCAUGAAUGGGCUUGUGCUGGAAAGGCUCCAGACGCAGCUGGUUAAGAUCAGACCAAGACUAGGGGGAGGAGGGCUCCUUUGUUCAAGGACUGGGUCAGCUUUUCAUCUGGGAGUGGAAAUGGGAUUCCCUGCAGGAAGCAGGCUUUGCAGGCCCCAGCCAGGCCUCCCUCCACAGCCCUCAAGUCCUUUCCCAACUCUGUGAAGUCAGUGGGAGAACAGAGCUUCCCUGAGCCAGGAUCCAGGCACGUGGGGUUGGGCCUGGAGGGGCUUCUGGGCCACUCGCAGGAACCAGGGCUGAGCUGGGACAGGCGAGCCCGCUGCUCCUGCGGCAGGGCCAAGGCAGGGCCGAGGCAGGGCUGGGGGAGACCUUGCAUUUUGCCGUGUAGGCGGGGAGGGGCUGCAGGCGGCAGGGCUGCUCCGGCCUGCACAGGGGUCCUGGAAGUCAGGCCCCAGAGGCUGCCAUUUCUGUGGGAUGCGAGGUGAGUGGCCUCCUCGUUUGGCCAGAGUCCAGAUCGACACCCUCUGGCCGGCUGGGCCAUGGCUCCAGCCAGGUCAAACUCAGAGACGGGCCCCAUGCCACCCUGGUAAGUCUACCAGUUCAUCGGGGCACCCUGUGGCCACCGGAAGAGAGGGGCUGGGGGCCAAGAAGGCAACUCAGGGUCAGCAUGGGCAGGGCCAGGCCGGCGGGCAGUGUCGGCCCCAGGGCCAAGCCAAGCACUGUAGGCCAGCCAGCACCAGGACGCUGACCAGGCCUCAGAAGGGCCAGGCAGUGGGUGGGAGCUGCUUCCAUCCCCAGGGACCACAGCAGAGCCCCUGAGGACCGGAACGCCUGCCCUGGCUGUGGCCUCUGCCACCCCAGGCCUCUGCCUCCCCAGGCCUCUGUCUCCCCAAGACCUCUGGCGCCCCAAGACCUCUGCUGCCCCAGGCCUCUGGCGCCCCAGGCCCUGCCUCCUCACCCAGACUCCGGGCACCUGGCCGUAAGUGCCGCUCUCUCUCCCCUGAGCUCUUCCGAGGGCUUUUUACAAAUAAGCGACCCCUGUGUGCCCCGCACUGUGUCCAGGCUCCCAAGCUGCACUACCCCUUUAAGCACCACAGGUGUCCUUCAGAAUGGGGACGUUAGCAGGCACUGCUCCCUUCAGCCAUGAGGAACAGCUGGAGGGCUCCCGGGCAGGUGUCGUGGGCAUGGGUCUCUGGCUGCUGCAGGACCCGUCCGUAGAGACCCUGAGUCCCUCUCACCCAUGGGCUGCACAUCCAGCUCUUCUUCCAGAGGGUGGCCCCCAGAUCCCUGAGGACACUCCCUCUUUCUGACGUGGAUGAUAGACCCGCUGGAGCCGGUCCGGGGCCAGCCCGGCUCCUCCUGCUUUGGCUGGUAGCCUAGCUCCGGGCCAGGGUGGUGGACCAGCAGAGGUGGCCAAGCCCUGGGUCAGGCUCCUCUAGGCCAAAGGAAACAUGGCCUCUCGUAGCUCCGCAGAGGCCUCGUCCCAAAGUCACCCUUUCAGAGUUGGCAGAGCCACCUGAGCCCUUGGCCCAGUGUCCUCAGUCCUGCAAGCCCACCGGCUGAGGAGGGGGAGCUGGCCGUGCGCCCGGGGUUCCGAGCCCCACUUCUCACCUGUGCAAGGAGCAGCUGUCCCCUGGCCUCCAGGUGCCGUGCAGACAGGCGAGAUAACCGAGGGCAAGGUGCUUGGGAAGGGCACCCGCGGCUUUGGGCACCUCACCAAGAGCCUGCGCGUCCAGGCGGGGGAGGGAGCGGGCAGGGGACCCGCAGUGGGAGCCAACCAGACCAGCAAGUCUGCAGGGAGGGCCCGCUGGGCCGGGAGGGGGCAUCUGGAAGGUUCAGGGCAGGGCAGGGCAGGAGGGGAGACCACUGGAGGCCCGAGUGGGCAGGCCACAGGACAGAGUCCCCGAUCGAGGCACCAACCGCCCCAGGAAGGCCCCCUCCACUACAGGGACACUGAGCCCUGGAGGGAGGGACUUUCUGAGGGCAUAGAGCUGGGACCUGGGGGAGCUUGGUCCCCUGGCCUGGGCAAAGGCCCAAGGGUACAGGGAGGUGGGGUGGCAGGGUGGAGCCAUGAGUCUGCAGAGGCCACCAGCGACUGGGUGUGGGCCUGAGGGUCACCCUCCAGCCCGAUGGUGAGGGACGUGACAAGGUGGGAGGGGCCACCCAGCAGCCUUCCUCCUCCAGGAGCCCUGCCUGCUCCCUCGCGACUCACCCCUCCUCGCGCCUCUCCAGGGCAGGGGGAGCCGUUCCCUCUGGAGGGGCCGUGGCCUGUCCCCACCCCCAAGUGUCUGGAGCAGGACAGGAUCACAGCCUCCUGAAGAGGCGGCCAGGUGGGCCUCGAAGCAGCCCUCCCUGGCGCUGCCUGCAGCAGGGUCCGGCUCUCUGGGCCUGGAGCUGCUGUAGCAGUAAGUGGCCAGCGCCCAACCCCUGCCUGUGGACCUUACGGGCUUUGCCUCCCUCGAGGGCCCUGCGCUGUCUGCAGACCACCUGCGUCCUGCAAACCCCAGCUGCAAAACUGCCCUCGAAACCCCUGGUUUGCAGGAGCCCUCAGCUCUGCUGUGCCGAGGGGCCUGGCCACGGCAGCUGGGUCAGCGCAGAGCCUGACCUGAGGUGACCUCCAGCUCAGGGGAUCAGCUGAACGUUUUUGCUUGGGGGUUACAACUGAAACGUUCUCGGGCAGCCCUGUGUCCCCAUCAACAAUAAAAAUGGUCUGGGGUGUCUCGGGGAGUGUGGAUUUUAAAGCAGCUUGUUUAAAACGUGAUCUGCACCCGGGCAACGUGCCAGCUCAAAGUGUGCCCUGGUGGCUUCCCGCAGGGACCCCAAGGCUCGGAGCUACUUGAACUGUUCUGACUGUAACGGGGUCCCUGCCUUCUGAGUGCAGCCCCCAUCGCCCUGACCCCUGCCCUGAGCACACCCACGGGAAGGAGAGGUCAGCGAGGAUCUGGACGUGGACACCUCCCAAGGAACAAGGGAACCCUGGCAUCAGGGCACCCUGGGCCCCUACCAGAGCACGCCUGGAAUGUGACCCUUGAAGUUCCUCUAAAACACCCCUCCCUGUCCCUCCUGAGGGAGAGAGUCACAGCCUUUGGGACAGGGUUCCCCGGU